rnacentral:rRNA from 1 species
GGUUAAGUCCCGCAACGAGCGCAACCCUUUUCCUUACUUGCCAGCAUUUCGGAUGGGAACUUUAAGGAUACUGCCAGUGACAAACUGGAGGAAGGCGGGGACGACGUCAAGUCAUCAUGGCCCUUACGGCCAGGGCUACACACGUGCUACAAUGGUCGGUACAAAGGGUUGCUACCUAGCGAUAGGAUGCUAAUCUCAAAAAGCCGAUCGUAGUCCGGAUUGGAGUCUGCAACUCGACUCCAUGAAGUCGGAAUCGCUAGUAAUCGCGGAUCAGAAUGCCGCGGUGAAUACGUUCCCGGGCCUUGUACACACCGCCCGUCACACCAUGGGAGUUUGUUGCACCAGAAGUAGCUAGCCUAAAUGCAAAGACAGCGGUUACCUCGAGUUUUUUCCUGAUCUCGGU